rnacentral:rRNA from 1 species
CCUACGGGUGGCAGCAGUGAGGAAUAUUGGUCAAUGGACGCAAGUCUGAACCAGCCAAGUAGCGUGCAGGAUGACGGCCCUCCGGGUUGUAAACUGCUUUUAGUUGGGAAUAAAAGGGGGCUCGUGAGCCCCGUAUUGUAUGUACCAUCAGAAAAAGGACCGGCUAAUUCCGUGCCAGCAGCCGCGGUAAUACGGAAGGUCCGGGCGUUAUCCGGAUUUAUUGGGUUUAAAGGGUGCGCAGGCGGAAUGUCAAGUCAGCGGUAAAAUUUCGGGGCUCAACCCCGUCGUGCCGUUGAAACUGGCGUUCUUGAGUGAGCGAGAAGUAUGCGGAAUGCGUGGUGUAGCGGUGAAAUGCAUAGAUAUCACGCAGAACUCCGAUUGCGAAGGCAGCAUACCGGCGCUCAACUGACGCUCAUGCACGAAAGCGUGGGUAUCGAACAGGAUUAGAUACCCUUGUAGUC